rnacentral:rRNA from 1 species
CCUACGGGAGGCAGCAGUGGGGAAUUUUCCGCAAUGGGCGAAAGCCUGACGGAGCAACGCCGCGUGAGGGAUGAAGGCCUCUGGGCUGUAAACCUCUUUUAUCAAGGAAGAAGAUCUGACGGUACUUGAUGAAUAAGCCACGGCUAAUUCCGUGCCAGCAGCCGCGGUAAUACGGGAGUUGCAAGCGUUAUCCGGAUUUAUUGGGUUUAAAGGGUCCGCAGGCGGAUCAAUAAGUCAGUGGUGAAAGCCCGCAGCUCAACUGCGGAACUGCCAUUGAUACUGUUGAUCUUGAGUGUGGUUGAAGUUGGCGGAAUGUGUCGUGUAGCGGUGAAAUGCUUAGAUAUUACACAGAACACCGAUUGCGAAGGCAGCUCACUAAGCCAUUACUGACGCUCAGGGACGAAAGCGUGGGGAGCGAACAGGAUUAGAUACCCUAGUAG